UACGUAGGGUGCGAGCGUUGUCCGGAAUUACUGGGCGUAAAGAGCUCGUAGGCGGUUUGUCGCGUCGUCCGUGAAAACUUGGGGCUCAACCCCAAGCUUGCGGGCGAUACGGGCAGACUUGAGUACUGCAGGGGAGACUGGAAUUCCUGGUGUAGCGGUGAAAUGCGCAGAUAUCAGGAGGAACACCGGUGGCGAAGGCGGGUCUCUGGGCCAGUAUCGAUCGCUGAGGAGCGAAAGCGUGGGGAGCGAACAGG
rnacentral:rRNA from 1 species